rnacentral:lncRNA from 1 species
CUUCCUCAACUAAAUAAAUUGAUAAGACUGUUGCUUGGGUUUACUUAAUUUCACACACACACAUGCGUGCGCGCACGCACACGCACACACGCACAUAUAUAUGAAAUUGAUAGGUAUUAUGGGGUUUCUUAUCCAACUCAACCCAACCAUUUUAUCUACCCACCCCACACCAUCUAAUUUAUCUAAUCCGCUCUAACCCAAAGAGGGUGCAAGAUGGGUAUGGAUGUGAGAUUUUUAAUUAUAAGAUGG